rnacentral:rRNA from 1 species
AGUGAACGCUGGCGGUAGGCCUAACACAUGCAAGUCGAACGGCCGCACAGUAAGCUCUUGUUCUUACGGUUGGCGAGUGGCGGAGGGGUGAGGAAUACAUCGGCAUCUAAUUUUUCGUGGGGGAUAACGUAGGGAAACUUACGCUAAUACCGCAUACGACCUACGGGUGAAAUCAGGGGAGCUUCGGACUUUUCGCGAUUGUAUGAGCCGAUGUCGGAUUAGAUAGUUGGCGUGGUAAAGGCCCACCAAAGCGACGAUCCGUAGCUGGUCUGAGAGGAUGAUCAGCCACACUGGAACUGAGACACGGUCCAGACUCCUACGGGAGGCAGCAGUGGGGAAUAUUGGACAAUGGGCGCAAGCCUGAUCCAGCCAUACCGCGUGGGUGAAGAAGGCCUUCGGGUUGUAAAGCCCUUUUGUUGGGAAAGAAAAGCAGCAGGAUAAUACCCCGCUGUUCUGACGGUACCCAAAGAAUAAGCACCGGCUAACUUCGUG